GACACGAUGGCCGAGUGGUUAAGGCGAUGGACUUGAAAUCCAUUAGGGUUCCCCUGCGCAGGUUCGAACCCUGCUCGUGUCG
rnacentral:tRNA from 1 species